AUUGAACGCUGGCGGCAGGCCUAACACAUGCAAGUCGAGCGGAUGAAGGGAGCUUGCUCCUGGAUUCAGCGGCGGACGGGUGAGUAAUGCCUAGGAAUCUGCCUGGUAGUGGGGGAUAACGUCCGGAAACGGGCGCUAAUACCGCAUACGUCCUGAUGGAGAAAGAGGGGGAUCUUCGGACCGCACGCUAGCAUAUGAGCUUAGGUCGGAUUAGCUAGUUUGUGGGGUAAAGGCCUACCAAGGCGAGGAUCCGUAACUGGUAGGAGAGGAUGAUCAGUCACACUGGAAGUGAGACCCGGUCCAGAGUCCUACGGGAGGCGCCCGUGGGGCAUAUUGGACCAUGGGCGAAAAACUGAUCAAGCCAUGCCGAGUGUGUGAAGAAGGUCUUCGGAUUGUAAAGCACUUUCAGUUGGGAGGAAGGGCAGUAAGUUAAUACCUUGCUGUUUUGACGUUAACAACAGAAUAAGCACCGGCUAACUUCGUG
rnacentral:rRNA from 1 species